AAGCACUUUAUUUGAUUUCCUUCGGGACUGAUUAUUUUGUGACUGAGUGGCGGACGGGUGAGUAACGCGUGGGUAACCUGCCUCACACUGGGGGAUAACAGUUAGAAAUAGCUGCUAAUACCGCAUAAGCGCACGGUUCCGCAUGGCUCAGUGGGAAAAACUCCGGUGGUAUGAGAUGGACCCGCGUCUGAUUAGGUAGUUGGUGGGGUAACGGCCUACCAAGCCAACGAUCAGUAGCCGACCUGAGAGGGUGACCGGCCACAUUGGGACUGAGACACGGCCCAAACUCC
rnacentral:rRNA from 1 species